rnacentral:rRNA from 1 species
CCGGCACGGGUGAGUAACACGUAUCCAACCUGCCGUCUACUCUUGGACAGCCUUCUGAAAGGAAGAUUAAUACAAGAUGGCAUCAUGAGUUCACAUGUUCACAUGAUUAAAGGUAUUCCGGUAGACGAUGGGGAUGCGUUCCAUUAGAUAGUAGGCGGGGUAACGGCCCACCUAGUCUUCGAUGGAUAGGGGUUCUGGGAGGAAGGUCCCCCACAUUGGAACUGAGACACGGUCCAA